AUUAAUAUUUAUAUAUUGUGAGGUGGAGAUGGAGCAGCAGCAAACACAUGAAAGCCGGUCUGAUGUUUUCGAGUUGCUCAUGAAAGCAGGAGGUUCGCUCUUCAAAGAGCGCGAGGAAGAUGAAGAGCCACAUGAAAGGAUGAAGGUCCGUCCUGAAAGACCUCCGCUUACGCUGUGAAUGACGGCCACAGAAGAGCCGAGGUGUAAAGUGACGGGUUGAAGAGAGAUGUCCAGAUGACGGCAGCUGCUCUUUGGGAAUCUCACCAGGCAGAUGGGCACCACAUGAAGGCCUGCUCACAACAAGAAGAUUAAAUAAGAAAACAGCUGAAGUUCGACACAAGCGUGUGAAGACCUUCUCAAGACCCUGCAGAGAAACAGGCCGCGUCUACAUCUCACAUUCACUCCACUCUCUGAGUUUGAUUCGGACCUCUUCAGCCCGCCGUCGCUGGCGUUUCAUCAGCAGCUUCUAUAUUAAGCAGCGUGUUGUGUAUUAGUUU